UCUCAUGAGACUGUCGAGCCACCGGUAAGAUUUUUAGUUAAAAUCAAUUUUAUUCAAUAUAAGGUGAAUAUUUGUUUAAUUUUUUUAAACUUUAUUUGGACCUCAAAUAAUAUCUCGUCCAUGAGACUACUUCAUAUUCAGCACCAGACCCAUCUCAGGAGCCUAUUCAGGCACCUGUCGAUACACAGGUUCAUCCUUCGGCGCCUGCGGUGGCAACUCCCGACGAGGAGGAGGUCGCGUUUCCAGACCCAGCUCAGCCUGAGAUUCUGAGCAUACCAGCGGGACUAGAUCCCAAGAAGAAGCACGUUAUGCAGAAGGGCGCAACAGCGAGGGAUGAUCAUGGCUUAGAGCGCCCACUUAUUAAGAGGGAAAAGGGGGAUGGAGAUAAUGGCGAGGGCGGUGGGGAUGGUAUGAGCCUUAGGCCUAAGGAUAGUCUCAAGCAUACCGCAUGUGGGACCCACUAGUAUAUACAAUAGAAUUGUACAGUUUAAGUAAAUAUUAUAUAUUUUUUGCGUAUCUAUUUAUAUUUAGGGAAAAGACAUGUUUUAACCCCUGAACUUGGCACGAAAACUCACUUUAGCAACUAAACUUAAAUUCUAUUUAUUUACCCCCUUUAACAACUUACGUUUCAAUUGUUUUCCACCCCAAAUGCUGACGUGGCAAAAAAAAAUUAAAAAAAUAAUAAUAAAGAGAGUGAAAAACAAAAAAAGUGAGCCCGGUCAUAUAUAUAUAUAUAUAUAUAUAUAUA